UGCCCAAGGAGGGAGCCAGCGCCAUCUGCUUCUCCUUUUCCUGUCGCAAGCACCUGGAGCUGCACAGCCCUGGAAUCACGUCUGUAACUCUGCAAUUCAACCCCAAGGAUAACAAGCUUAGAGGAUAAAUUCUCCCCUGCCAGAAUUUGUUUCUCUGCUGCCAGCCACCUCAGCAUUUAGCAAAACCCCAUUCUUUGCUCAGUUCCAGGCUGCUUGAAGCAAAGGCAGGUUCAGACCACCCUCCUCAAGUUUUGGAAUCAGUCCCACUAGCUUUUCUCCUGCAGCCUGCUGUGUUUGUUCCCAACCCCCUCACCUCAGCUUGUAGCUGGCAGGGGCAGUGCUGGGGCAGGAUGGCAGAGCUCACAUUCACCUGAGACCCAUGGUGUGGGAAAAACCAGCUGGGUGCAUCAGCAUCAAGGACAUUUCAUCUCAGCAGCCGUUGCAGUGUAUCUGAAGAGGCUGUUCCCUGAGACAAUAUGGCUUUCCCAAAGCUGCUUCCUGCUGUGUGUUAGACUGGUCACUGGGGCUCCAGAUUGCAGCAAUCAGG